AGUUUGAUCCUGGCUCAGGACGAACGCUGGCGGCGUGCUUAACACAUGCAAGUCGAACGCUGAAGCUUGGGUGCUUGCAUCUGGGUGGAUGAGUGGCGAACGGGUGAGUAAUACGUGAGUAACCUGCCCUUGACUCUGGGAUAAGCCUGGGAAACUGGGUCUAAUACUGGAUACUACAYUCUCUCGCAUGGGGGUGUGUGGAAAGGGUUUUACUGGUUUUGGAUGGGCUCACGGCCUAUCAGCUUGUUGGUGGGGUAAUGGCCUACCAAGGCGACGACGGGUAGCCGGCCUGAGAGGGUGACCGGCCACACUGGGACUGAGACACGGCCCAGACUCCUACGGGAGGCAGCAGUGGGGAAUAUUGCACAAUGGGCGAAAGCCUGA
rnacentral:rRNA from 1 species